rnacentral:tRNA from 1 species
GCCAGAGUGGCGAAAUUGGUAGACGCAGCGGAUUCAAAAUCCGCCGGUAGAAAUACUGUGCCGGUUCAAGUCCGGCCUCUGGUACCA